rnacentral:rRNA from 1 species
UACGGGGGGAGCAAGCGUUGUUCGGAUUUACUGGGCGUAAAGGGCGCGUAGGCGGUCAGCACAAGUCAGUUGUGAAAUCUCCGGGCUUAACUCGGAAAGGUCAACUGAUACUGUGCGACUAGAGUGCAGAAGGGGCAACUGGAAUUCUCGGUGUAGCGGUGAAAUGCGUAGAUAUCGAGAGGAACACCUGCGGCGAAGGCGGGUUGCUGGGCUGACACUGACGCUGAUGCGCGAAAGCUAGGGUAGCAAACGGG